GUAAGUAUUAUCGCUCAACCGGGAACAAAAGAAAAACAAAACUAAAUAAUAAACAAAAUACAAAGUACGAGCAGUUUGUACAAUAAUGUGACAUUUUAUUAGUUUUUGUACAAUAGACUUCUUCUCCUUUUUGUAUACGUUAUUUAAAACACUUGAAUACUGAAAAAAAUUUGGUACAUCAAAGCCGAAAAAAAUUGGCUCUGCUAUACCCUGCACAGCAUUGAUUUAGUCCCUGUAUUUUUUUUGUAUAUACAGAAAGCAUUUGCAAAAUUCAUCCUAAACACAUUAUACACCUUACCAAUUUAAUAAAUCAAUACAUAGGUUAAACUGGAAGUAUACACCUUGUCAUGUGCAAAAUAACGUAACGAAAAUUGAUUUCACUGAAUCAAUGUGUAAAAUAUAGCUUUUGUACUUCCUGCACAUACAGUAAAGCAGCUUUCAAUUUCAGUAAAUCCUUUAAACUUCAAAAACGUGUAUUACAUUCACAAUUUAUUUUAAUAAACUAGUAAAUAUUUAGUGCCUCAGCUUAAUUUACAUCCAUCAUAUAAACUGAAAAGUACAGUUUUUAUUUUUUUUAAUAAUAUAGCAUUUUUUUCACACAUACAAAAUGACAAUUUUCAGAAAUAAUUUUAAGCUCAAAACCACAACUUUUCUUUAAAAUAAAUAAGUAAAAAUGAAAAACAAUAUAAAAUGGAAAGAAAAAGAAAAGAAUUAAAGACCGCCACCUGCGUCAAUGUUAAACAUUUUCUUUUCGUAGUUUUUCGUAUUAACCCUCUGGCCCCCAAACGGUUAAAAUAUUUAUAUAUUUUAUAGUUCUAUAUAAAAGUUUGGCUAUUUUUCUAAUAAAGCUAACAAUGAUCUGAAUUUUAUCACAAGUAGGAAAACUAUUCAAAUGUUCCUUCACUGUUAUUCAAAAUUUCACCAUUGUUAUAAAUGGUUCGAAAAAAAGCAUUUAUGAAGUGUGAAUGAUUUUUGUAGCUUAAAAAACAUACAAGAGACUGGGUUGUAGAAUGAUGCAUCAAGAAAUGUGGUCCCCACCUCCCCCCCCUCUUUAGGCGAUAUCAUUUAUUCACUAGACAGAACUAAGAAGAAUUAACAAAGGAAUUUCAAAUAUUAGGUAAAAAAUAAAUAAAUACGGGUUUGGAAAAAAGUUUCCAGAUUGUUUUGAUUUAAAAUUUUCAAUUUCCUCUCUUAAUUUUUACAAUUAUGUAUUUACUGAAUAAAUAUUUUAAUUAAGAAGUAUUAAAGUGGUUCAUUCACUAAACAGCAAAUAGUAAUGAUUUGAAAACUUAUUUUCCAAAAUGAGGCAAAAACAAAAUACUUUUGACUAAAGCGGAAUUCGAGAAUGUUUGCAAAUAAGCCCAUAUUGCUAACAUUUUACAAUUCGGCUUACAUAUCAGUACAAUUACAAUUUGUUGUUUACAGAAUAAACUUUGUGUCUGUGCAUUUUUAUAUUAAAAUUACCAAUUUUCCUGGGCAACAGAUAUUUAGGAGUUAUUCCCUAAGCAAUGAACUGCCAGCCUUCCAAACUGAAUUCAAGAUUCCUUUCACACAGUUUGACAAAACACUCUUUAACGAAUACAGUACAUUGUGCAUGUUAACAAAAAUGUGUCACAAAUCUGUUACAUUGUGACCUAAAACAAUAGCAGGAUCUUGCAAUAGAGCAUGUAGAACCUCUUCCUUAUAAUACAGGAGCUAGUGAUUCACGCAGCUAGAUAUACAAUUCCUAACACACACAGAAAAAUAGUUAGGACUUGUAUAUAUUUUAGGGCCAUGCAGGUACAACAAGCAACUGCUCAACUUGUAUAGAUACAAUGUAGAAAAGAAAUAUCAAUGGGAUGGGGGUUAGUGGUUUUAACCCCUUAAGGACCAAACUUCUGGAAUAAAAGGGAAUCAUGACAUGUCAGACGUCAUGUGUCCUUAAGGGGUUAAACAAAAUGCAUUCCCAAAAGAUUAAGCUUAGUUCUAUUAAACUUAUAGCGCUGACUCACAGAGCAGAAACAAUUCUCCCCAGAUGAAAAUAAAACUUGUGGUUUGUUAAAGGAACCCUAACACAUCCAGAUCUUUGCUUUUAACUUGGUUUUGCAAGAAAGAUGCCCAUAGCAUAAAGUCUAGACUCUCUAUAUGUUAAAAAAUCUUAAUUAUGGGGUACAAGAUGUAAAGAAAGAUACUGAAUUCACCGGGUGUUAAUCCCUUAUUGAAAUCUGUUCCUGUGGCAAAAGCAUGCAUUCAACUGCACACAUUCUGCAAAUAUGACAUAGUGGCAUUUUAGAAUUAAUACAAUUUCUUCUCGGUCUUGGAUCCAGCAGAUUAGUCCCAGUUUAAAACCCCAGUUCUGUUUUUUCUGGUGACCCACUAGAGAAGGAUUAACAUUCCACGGGGCCCUAUGCAGGUCACCAGUUUGGGACCCUUUCAUUCUUUGCAUAAGGAUGGCUAAUGGGGCCAAGCCAAUGAAUAGUUCCAAGGUCCCUGUCUAACCUCUGGACCCUAGGUAGCUGCCUAGGAUCAUCUUAUGGUUAAUCCUGCUCUGUAACCUGCUUCUAGGGCAUGCACUCAGUGUGUGUAAGGGGGGGAGGGGGUGGCUGAAGAAACUUCCCUAGCUGAGAGGUGUGCCCCAAAAUUCAAUGGGACCCAUUUACACUACGUUUUAAAAUGUUAAUUACUACCUUUCAAAGCUUGCAUUGCUUUAUUUUGGUUUGUAUAUUUGUUUAAAAGUGAUUGCAUUAUCACAAGUAUUGCACAGCAUGGAACACUCGCUGUAUGCAUGUAUUACACCUUUACAUAAUACAUGCAUUUUGCUUUAAGUUGUAACUGGAGCCGUCUCUGACUGGGUGUCUGGCAGGGUUAAUUACUAAAUUGAGAAUUCAAAUUGAAUUCAAAAUGGAUUUCAAAUAUAAAGUCAAAAUAGCCAAACCGGAAAUAUUCUCUAAAUCAGUUGUAAUUCCAUUUCAGCUACUUAGGCCUUAAAUGGGAAAAUCACUUUCAUUUAACUUUGAAUUCUCCUUUUAGUGAAUAGCCCUGAUAGAAGCACUUUAAAAUAAUCCACAAGUUAGAGGAAUGUGAGAGUGGUACGUCAUCACGAAAUGCACAAGAAGGGAAAGAGAUAAAAGAUUUUUUGGAAUGUGGGCUGACGGUAUUGUCUAAACAAAAUCUGGGAAUUGGGGGCACACCCAGAACAUGCAUUUCUGAGUUGUGGUGCUGCCCAAAAACAAAAACCAGUUAAAGGAACAUUGCACACAAAAAAAACAAAAAUGCAGUUUUACCUUUCACGAGGAUACAAAUCUACAGUUAUAAAUUAAACUCACACUGGAGACAGAGACCCACAGUACCUGUGACAAUAUUGUUUUAUGUAACCUGAUUAGAUGGACUGUAGAAAUGCAAGUUUAUAAUGUUGUUUCCGGUAAAAUCCAACACUAUCAACGUGUUAAAGCUCAUUUCUGGAGUAAAACUCAUAGGAUUCAGAAUCAAGUCUUCAUACAGUUUAAACCAUGGCUCCCAAUAGUCCCAGGUUUUGUGAGACGCUCUCCCACUUUUGUUCCCUGGUGGCCUACGACUGCGUCACAGCACCCCAACAUCUGUGGGUCCCACACCAAUUCCAACAUGGGAGAUUUACAUGGGACCCACAGGGGUGCUGUGAUGCAGUGGUGGGCUUGAUACAAUGUAAAUCACCAUAACUGUUUGCUAAGAUAGGUGAUUUUAAAUGGCCUUGUGAAAUGUAAAACUGUAUUUUUGUUUUUGUGUGUGAGAGUCCAGCAAUAUGGUUCUCAACAUCUAUGCCAUCUAAUCACGAUUUGUUUUUAAAUAAAAAGCUGACUUGACAUCACUCUGGCAAGACCCAAUCAAGGAUACGCAUGCAUAUGGAGGGCCGUCUUUAACGCGGGGCAAACGGGGCAGUUGCCCCGGGCCCAGUUGCUCCUGGGGGCCCCCAGAGCAGCUGCCCCGUGGGCCCCGCGAUUUGAGCAGCCCCCAAGGACCUGGUAGUGCGGCUACACAGAGCUACACCAGCCGCACACUAAGGAGGCCCCCGGGUGGCCCAUGCACUAAGGGCCACCCAGUGGGCAUAUGUCAGCAGGGGCCGCGCGUCACUUUCUCCCACCGGAGAUCACAGCCGCGCGGGAGGAGAAAGGCAGGGAGGAGGGGAGUUCCAGAGGAGAACUCAUCUGCCUCAGCCUGCCACUGGACCCCAGGGAAUCCACCCUCCAGAAAAAGGUAAGAACCUUGAGGGUGGUUAAAUGUAUGUCUGUGUGUGUGUCAGUAUGUCUGUCUGCAUGUUAGUAUGUCUGCGUGUGUGUGUGUGUGUCAGUAUGUCUGUGUGUGUAUUUAUGUGUGUGUGUGUGUGUCAGUAUGUCUGAAUGUGUGUCAAUAUGUCUGCCAGUAUAUAUUUGUGUGUCAGUAUGUAUCUGCAAAUGUUUUAAUAUGUCUGUCUAUGUGUGUAUGUGUCAGUAUGUCUGUCUGUGUUAUUGUGGGUUGUGCAUAAUUGGGGUUUAGAGGGGGGGGGGGGGGGGAGGAGCAGGGCCCAAGAAGCCCAAGAAAAUGCAUUGCCCAGGGGUCCUAAUCAUAUUAUAGACUCCCUAGGUAAAUGUCCUGAGUUCAGUUUGCGCCGCGUGAGACAGUCUGCUGCACUUGCUGACGAUAGUUCCCAAGAUGUGGGACACCAAGGAACAAAAGUGGGAGAGCGGGAGAGGUUCCCAAAAAUAAGACUGUCUCACAAAACCUGGGACUAUUGGGAGAUAUGGUUAAAAUUGAUGAAGACUUAAAGGACCACUAUAGUGCCAGGAAAACACACUCUUUUUCCUGGCACUAUAGUGCCCUGAGGUUGCCCCCACCCCUCAGGGUCCCCCUCCCACCGGGCUCUAGGGGGUGGAAGGGGUUAAACUUACCUCUUUCUCCAGCACCGGGUGGGGGACUCUCCGCCUCCUCCUCGGCUGAAUGCGCAUGCGCGGCAGGAGCCACGCGCACAUUCAGCCAGUCCAUAGGAAAGCAUUCACAAUGCUUUCCUAUGGACGCUGAGGUCUUCUCACUGUGAAAAUCACAGUGAGAAGUGCGGAAGCGCCUCUAGCGGCUGUCAAUGAGACAGCCACUAGAGGCUGGAUUAACCCUAAGUUUCUCUGAAACUGCUAUGUUUAUAGAAAAAAAGGUUAAACCUAGCUGGACCUGGCACCCAGACCAACUCAUAGAAUUCAUUUAAUUCUGAAUCCUAUGAGUUUUACUCCAGAAAUGUGCUUUAACACGUUGAUAGUGUUGGCUUUCAUUGGAAACAAAAAUAUAAACUUGCAUUUCUACAGUCCAUCUAAUCAGGUUACAUAAAACAAUAUUGUCACAAGUACUGUGGGUCUCUGUCUCCAGUUUGAGUUUAAUUUGUAACUGUAGAUUUACAAUACAUGCUACGUUUUGUAACAUUAUUGGAAAUUCUACCGUUUACUUUUAAUUCUAUAAGAAGUCUGCAUUUUGUAUUAGAUUGAAGGCUGCUAUUGUUAUAUUAACAAAGAAACACUAUAGUGACCAGAACAACUAGAAACAUAGAAUGUGAUGGCAGAUAAUAAUCAUUCGGCUCAUCUACUCUGGCCAAUUUUCUAAAUACUUUCAUUAGUAUCUAGCCUUAUGCCUAUCCCCCCGCAUGCUUAAACUCCCUCACAGUGUUAACCUCUACCACUUCAGCUGGAAGGCUAUUUCAUGCAUCCUCUACCCUCUCUGUAAAAUAAUACUACAGCUUAAUGUAGUUGUUCUGGUGAGUAUAAUCAUUACCUUCAGGCAUUUUCAUGCAAAUACUGCGUUUUUAGAGAAAAGGGCAGUGUUUACAUUGCCCCCUAGAGACACCUCCAGUGGCCACUCCUCAGAUGGCCAGUGGAGAUGCUUCCUGGCUUAGUGUUGCACAGCAGGCAGCAGUGCCGUUUAGUGUCUCCACGCUCUGCAUGGAGACGAUGACAUUUUCUCAUACAGAUGCAUUGAUUCAAUUCAUCUCCAUGAGGAGGUGCUGAUUGGCCAAAACGGCGCUUGGACUCCUCCCCAUCCCGCCUUCAUGACGAUUUCCAUAUGCGAAAGCAUUGGAUUGGCUAAAAAUGGUAAAUUCUGAUGAUGAUGAUGAUGAUGAAAUAAGGUAAGUUUUAACCCCUAAGGGGGGGGGGAGGAGAGGGGUAAGCCACAUAAAUGGUGGUUUUAACACUUUGGGGUCAGGAAUACAUGUUUAGCAGUGGGCAUAUUUCAAAAUACGGACAGUGUUAAAAUGUGUCUAUGGUAAUACCUUUAGUAAUCAUGAUAUUCACAAAUUAUACGAUUAAAAAUAUAUAUAUAGUCACUGAGAGAAAGAAUUAUUUCAGUCGAUACAAUUAAAUAUAAAAAAAAUAGGAGUUGCAAAAUGCAAUAAUUACGAGAUUCGUACAUGACAGAUCUCCACAAGCACAUGGCGAGAAUAACAGAGACACUGAUUGCGCUUUAUAAUCUCAAAGAGAGAUGUUGCUAUAAUAAUCUACAGGCAUGCAUUUAACCAAAUUGUCUUCUCAAUACUAGAUGCUUUUAAAUUAAUUAUUAUUCCAAUGUCUAUAUAAAUGAUCAACCCACACAAUGACUCUUCUAAAUUACGUUGGGGUUAAGCAAUAAAUGUUUAGCAAGGAAUUCAGGAUGAGAAGAUUUAAGAAUCUGUAUUCUAGCCUACCUUACACAAAGGCUUGUACACACAGAAACCUACACACCUUAUCAGAGGAUCGAAAAAAGGCUUUCAGAAUUCUCGCAUUCAAUAUAUGUGUUACAAUAAUAUCAGAAUUACACAAUAAAACAAUAAAUUGCCCCAGCUGUGUCUAAAAGCAUGAUUGCCUGUACACCAACAGAUUAUUAUUUUCAACAUAAAGUGCUAUCUGUUAAAAGAAUUGUCAAAGGCUUGGAGGACGGGACAUUGCCAUUUCUGUAUAAUAAUCUAGUGAACUCACAUAAGCCAAAUUUAAAAAUAUACUUCAACCAUUGGUCAACAUUUACACUUUUCAACUUGUGCACAAUCCGUGAUGUUUUAUAAAAGCAUUUUCAUCAGAUGAUUUAUGGUAACUCCUCGUGUGAAUUUGUACUUUUUAAAAAAUCAUGUAUUUUGCCCAAUUAUGAUUUUUCAAUAAAUUCAUAUAAUGAAAAAAAAAAUGCUUAUAUCUUAAUGUAAAAUACCACAUCUAUACAUUUGUUCCUAAUUUGGCUGAUAAAAAUAUGUAUUAUCUAGAGUACCACUAUGUCAUUUUGCCGAGGAUAGAAGCAUUUAAUACAAAAUAUAAUUUGAGAACAAUUUGGGUAAUCAAAAAUGUACAUUUGUUUUUUCAGGCAGCUAGAUCUUUUGGGCUUUUGUAUGUUUUUAAAUUUUGACAAAUUCUGCUUGUUUUCUCACAAAUCAGUGAACCCCCUAGAACAGUGAUGGUGAAUUCUGACACUGCAAAUGUUUGUGGACUUCAUUUCCUAUAAUGCACUAUAGGUUAGACAUCACUGGUCUGGGCUUCUGGGUGCUAGCAUUUACUAUCUGCAAUCAAGAUUUAAAAUUAUUUUAAAGUUUUCUGCAUUUUCCUCCUAGAAAGCAACAAAAAAUACAUAAUAUAAACUUGUAAAUAAAAAUAAUAAAUUAAUCUGCCAGUUUACAACUGGGUCAAACGUAUACAGUGCAACUAUGUAUCUGAAUCACUUUUAUUGAACAUUAUCCACAUAAGCGCUUGGAAAUAUAUAGAAGUAUUCUUGAUUAAUUAAGCCUAAAAUAAAGCAAACCACAUGCCUUCGAAAAGCUAACAGUGCUCAAAUCUCUGUCUUCGUUGCAUCAAAAAAAUCAUAGAGAUAUUUUAU
rnacentral:lncRNA from 1 species